GCAUUCGUGGCCUAAUGGUUAGAGAGUCGGACUUGUAACCCGAAGGUCGUGGGUUUGAGUCUCCAGCAGGUCCA